UCGUGUCUUGUUGCUAAAAUUCUGGUUCCU
rnacentral:piRNA from 1 species